GGAAGAAGACAAUCCUCUUUGGGUUCCAGAACGCCUCACCCGAAGGAUCUCCCCUUCAGAAGAUGUGGACAAAAGAGGGAACACUGAAACAACGAUGGAUACUGACCCUUCUACCGGAGAUCCUGGUUCCUAGUAUAUCAGGGGAAUAGCGUUGGGAAUUAUGUCCACCUUUCCCCUGCUCAUGCCUGUCAUGCACAGUGCACAAGUGAGCAGUUUAAGCUUAUUUAAAGAAAAGAGAGAUUUUAGAAUCUCUGCUAUUAUAGUUGGCUUGGUAGCAACAGCAGCAAUAGCUGCCUCGAUCACUCCUUCGGCCCUUGCCUUGUCUGCUACGGUUCAGACAACGUAAACCAUCAAUGACCUUUCGGCAAGAGUGACAUCGGUCCUGGACAGGCAGGCCACGGCCAACUCCCAGAUAUAGGGAGGCCUCAUGUUGGUAAACCAACGGAUCGAUCUGGUCCAAGAACAGGUGGAUAUCCUGUGGCAAAUGGCUUAGCUAAGUUGCGAACAUAAGCUGCCUAGCCUCUGUAUCACCUCAGUACAAUUUGAGAAUUUUAUAAGAUCAAUUAACCUGUCAAAGGCUUUGUCUCGUUAUUUGUUACAGAAUUGGACCAUAGAAUUUGAACAGACACUCUGGGAGCUGAGGAUCACCACGUCUGGACCUGUCAUUGACAGAAGGAUUUUCUACCUGGAUUUCUGCAGCAUUCUCCUACUUAAAGGAAUGGGUGGGGGUGGAUUUGUUUGGAGUGACUGUGUGCGGUGGAGUACUGCUCCUACUAUGGAUGAUCUGCAAACUCGAAGUCCAAACAAGGAGGGACAGGAUGGUAGUGACCCAGGCGCUUGUUGCUUUGGAGCAUGGUGCCUCCCCUGAUAUACGAUUAUCGAUACUUAAGCAAUAGGUCGCUGGCCGCUCAGCUCUUGCACCCCACGAGGCUAGUCUCAUUGCACGGGAUAGAGUGAGUGUGC
rnacentral:lncRNA from 1 species